UGUGGCAGAACAGUGCAAUAAAUUUAAGAUUUAUAUACAAAUUAAUAUUUCCUUAGA
rnacentral:tRNA from 1 species